rnacentral:lncRNA from 1 species
AAUCAACCGAAAUUCACUUCCGGGCUAGGGUUGAAUUUCACACCAGUGCUUCAUUCGGAAAGGUUCAUCCCUAUGUCCUAAGCCCUGCAGAGAGUCCCUCUAAGGGAAUUGAGAGCACUGGGGUGAGUCUUUCCGAAUUUAACGCAGUGUGUGACACCAAACAAUUCCCCUGCUCAAAUGAUCAUGGCCCGAAGUGUCCAUCAGGAUUAACCUUCGGUCCGAGCCCUUCGAGAAACCCUCCAAAAGAGCCACAUAUGCGAAACAUCCAGAAAACAGACAAGCGGCCGGAUGGAGCAGCGCCGCUGCGCUCCUCCAGUCCUGUGGAGGGCGCUGUCAGUGAAGCCCCCGGCUCUCCAAUACCUCCACCUAAAGCAAGCGGCAGGCUCGGUACGUCUCCUCCAGUCUCUUCAGGCCUGUCGGGAUGGAGCCUACUCAGCUAGCUGUGAUAUUAACCCGCGGCGUGAGAUGCCCACCGGUUGAUGAAGAGCUCGAAGGCGGAGGAGGAAAAGAAAAACGUUUGAAGGAGAUGAGCCAAAUUCCUCGUUCAGGGACCACCGGUGUUGGUAUGUUAGGUGGGUAAAGGGUCGUCGUCUCCUUUACUGCAUUUGCACUUGCAGCACAGGACGAAUGGUGUGGCAAGCAGCAGGAACGGAGAGGCCACCAGUAAGAGCAGGCCAAAACCAGCAAAGAUACCAACAACCUGAGGAGAAGCAGAUGAGAAGGUUUCAGAAGAAGUGUUCGAGAAGUUGAAUCAAGUUAAUCUUACAAGUUACUUGAACUUGCGUUACAUUAAAACAACUUGAAACAUGCUGAGGUAAUAAGUUGAAACACAGCAAGUAAAAUUUUUACAAACGUUUAGUACUAACAAAGACUAUAGAAUACACAAGAUCUGUCACUUGCAUACAUUGUACAAAAAGUCUGUUACUUUACGAUGCAGGGAAAAAAAUUUAAAUAACGGCUGUUAAACUGUAAACAUUUAUCGUAAAAUAACAGACAGUAAAUUAAAGAAAUUUAUCGGAAAUUUAAAUUUAAGUCAAUUUCUUUAAUUUACUGUCUGUUAUUUUACAGGAAAGUCUGUAAUUUAACGGCCGUUAUUUUACUCCAGCAGCCGGGAAAAAAAAAACGUAAAAUAACAGAUUUUUUUUACAGUGUAGUUUUGAAUGGGGAAAAGUGUAAUGUUCAACAUGGCGAAUAAAGCCCCGCCUUCAUCGAUCACUAUAAACUGUGGUUUUCUCCGGAGGGGAAAAGAUCACACCAGACGUGUUUUUACGAAAAAAAAAAACACGAAACACCUUUUUAUGAAAUCUCUGCAAAUACUUGCUUUACAGACACAAAAAUAUAUCCAAAUAAAGCUUGAAACCUGUUUUGUAAUCUGUAUGAAACGAACGCAAGGUACAGUUCACCCUGUCAAGUGCACAUCACAUGACAGCAACUGCUUAAACGCCUACAAACUUGUAAAUAAAGUGUUGCUGUCAUUUCUGGAAGAAAUUCGCCAUCAAGACCAAGUUUAAAAUUACUUCAGAAGAGCAGCAUGAUCAGAAAAUCAUCAUUCAGAGGACGAUAAUGUAUGUAUGUAUUAAUGUAACCAUAAAUGAGGUUGGUGUCAUGAUCUUGUUUUUUCGAGCGCAUUAGCUUGGGCAACCUGAAAAUAUGCUGAUUUUGUUUGAUUCAAAUGUUUAGAAACUAAAUGUGUAUAUAUAUAUAUAUAUAUAUAUAUAUAAAUAAUUAUCUGUUCAUCUUAAACCCGAAUCAAGGCCCAGAAUAAAUGUUAUCAAGGCU